ACAAGCGAGGGAGAAUUGACUGUGACAUCUGUCUCCCUAUCAUGUGCCAGGAUGGCUCAGCUGAUGUGGCUCCAUGGUGUCUCCUUUCUCCUACACUAAUUCAGGGGCCUCUGUUCUAAAGCAGUGUUCUCAGUUGAUAAGGAUGAGUUUUGCUCAUAGAGGAGGAUGGUCACAGGUGAGGGCAUGAGAACAGUUAUACUCUACCAUUAAAACCUCCAUGCAUUCUCUAGAGAUGUUCUCAUGUUUACUGCAUGCCUGUUCCUACUUCCAUGUUCCCUACUU
rfam:Mesocricetus auratus contig075240, whole genome shotgun sequence.